rnacentral:misc_RNA from 1 species
GCCAUGUUGCCAAAAAUGGAUGCUAAAACUGGAAGUGUUGCUGAUGAUGCACAAGGAAGACAAAUGUUUAGAACAAAACCUCAAAAUGUAUCUGCUAUUAAAGACCAAACUGUGAUAUUAAAAUGUGAAGUCAUGAAUCAAAGUGGAAGGAUGCAAUGGAGCAAAAAUGGUUUCGCUUUAGGUUAUGAUAAAUCAAUUCCUGGUUUUUCUCGUUAUGAAGUUGUUGGCAAUUUAAACCUUGGAGAAUACAAUCUUAUGAUAACAAAUGUGGAAUUACGUGAUGACACCGAAUACCAGUGUCAGGUGUUACCAACACCUGGUAAUCCACCUUUAAUGGCAUCAGCUUAUCUCACAGUUCAUAUCCCUCCUGAUGUUCCAAAAAUAGUUGGACACAAGAAUGCCUCCACUAUUGACAUCCCAUACACACAAGAUGAGAUAAAAUUAGAAUGUGUUGCACAUAACGGCCGUCCUGCUGCUCGCUUAGAGUGGUUCAAGGAUGGAGAGAAAAUCACGACAGGCAUUUCAUAUCGGACAGAGACAAAGCCUGGGGAGAAACUAUCAACAGCAAUAAGUGUUCUAACUUACAGACCCAAGUUUAAUUACAAUGAUGCUUUACUAAGUUGUCAAGCUUCAAACGAUGCUGUACAAGGACCUCCUCUUGAAACUUUCGUACAACUUAGUAUAUCUUUCCCACCAGGCGAACCUCACAUCAGCGGUUAUCACGAAGGUCAAGUAGUCCGCAUUAAUGAUACCUUGCACUUGAAAUGUGUUUCUGAAGGUGGUAAUCCUCCUGCACUUGUUAUCUGGUAUAAGAAUAACAAAGAAAUUGACCGGUCUUACUUCACCGAACAGAAUAAGGCAGAAAAUGACCUAACCUUAACUGUUGAAUCUUCUGAUAAUGAUGCUAUUUUCAAAUGUGAAGCAUCGAAUACUGCAACAGUGAAGCCAUUAGUUGCAUCUUUCAAGCUAACAGUGCACUUUCCUCCAAAGAAAGUAAAAAUCUCCGGUCACAGACUUGCAAAAGCCGGACAGACUGUGACAUUAAAAUGUGUCUCAACAAACAGUAAUCCGGCAGCAACGAUCACUUGGUUUGCAAGGGGAAGACAGCUUCCAGAUGAAAACACCCAAGUAAAGAGUUCACCUAAAGGAGGGUUUAUUUCAACAUCAAUAACCAAAGUUAACCUGACGGGCAAUGACAAUAAUGUUAUGUACACAUGUGUUGCCAAGAAUGAAUACGUCGUCGGUGGAACAUCUGAUUCAGUUACGUUAAGUGUUCUGUAUCCUCCUGCCAGUCCGACAAUUUCUGGUUACAACCCUGGUAGUGCUGUACACUCUGGUGAAUCUGCAAAGUUAACUUGCACAGCCAUUGGGGGAAACCCUUUAGCUUCCCUUAAAUGGUAUACAAGAGGUCGUCGUUUAGAUUCUGAUUACAAGAUAAUUGGUAACAUUGCUUCUGCUGACUUGAAUGUAAUUAUCAAGCCUGAAGAUAAUGGCGCCAUCUAUGUUUGCAAAGCUACAAAUAAUGCAACUGUCAGACCUUUACAGACACAAAUACGGCUAAAAGUCUUCUUUCCACCAGUGUCGGUAAACAUUACAACCAAACCAGAUCAAGCUAGAGCUGGACAGAAGUAUACCCUUACUUGCGAAUGUUCUUCGAGUAAUCCUGAAGCUGAAAUUAUCUGGUUACAUAAUAGCCAAAGGUUGCAGGGCAACAAUCUUGCUCUGAUGAAUGGCAGCAAUGGUGGGAAAAUAACCAUAAAUAUUUUGGAAAUUAUUCCUACACCUGAUGACCACAUGGCUGUUUAUGGAUGUCGAGCUAUAAAUCAUGCAGUGGAUAAAUCUGUUAACGACGGAAUUACUCUCGAUAUAUUAUUUAAACCAGUCUUCAAUACACUGAUACCCCACAAAAUCAGCAUCUUAGAAGAUGAAUGGAAAUCCGUGAAUUUUAGUGUAAGAGCGAAUCCGGAGAAAGUGAGGUUCAGCUUAUGGCGAGAUGGCCGUGUGUUGAAAUUACCUCGAAAUUUCCUUCUUGAUGAUGAUGGCCUCUUGAAUUUAACCAAAGUUAAGCAGAAAGACAGUGGGGAUUAUCAAAUAAAAGCAGUUAAUAAAGAAGGUGCCACAUUCUUAAACUUCACAGUUGAUAUACUCUAUGCUGCUAACAUCACACACAUUUCAACUCCUGUCAUCGAAGAUGAAGGAGGCAUUGCUUACUUGGAGUGUAUAGCUGAAGCGAACCCUAUGAGUGACAAUAUGGUUGGAUGGACAAGAGACAGCUACGAUAUGUCAAGAACUCGGCAGACUUACGAUAAAGGCAGCUCUUCUUUAACUGUCUACGAAUUGUCACGAACUGAUGCUGGAACUUUCACGUGUUCAGCAUAUAAUGGAUACGGCAAGGUCGUCACUCGAGUAGCUCAACUCAUAGUUAAGUAUCCACCACAAAUAGACCAAUCACGGCAAUAUGCAAAAGCAGCCAGUGACAAAGGAGGAACAGCAACUUUAAUCUGUAAAGCAGAUGGAGCCCCUCUCAUAACAUUUUCCUGGUCAAAGGGAAGUGCUGAACUGAAAAAUUCUGAUAAAUACAACAUAAAAGGCACAAAAGAUGGGGAUGUUUACUACACAAGUUUACUUGAGAUUUCCAAUGUUACGAAAGAGGACUAUGGCAAAUAUCUGUGUAAGGCUAAAAAUGUUGAAGGAUCUGCAGAAUCAGAGAUAUUAUUGGAUGGUACAAGUAAACCUGAUCCACCAUACAACAUAAAGUUUGUCAAUGCCACACACAAUAGUCUCACUCUCACUUGGCAGCCAGGUUUCAAUGGAGGCAUGACACAAUCCUUUCGGGUUCGUUAUCGACCAAAAGGAACAACGAACUACAAAUAUGUUGAUGUUGGCCCUGGAUCAAAUGUCUAUUUGCUUACUGGUCUAGAAAGAGGGCAAGAAUAUGAAAUAACUAUGCUUGCAUUCAAUAAACUCGGAGAAAGCCAAUACCAAAGGAAAGAAUUCAUAGCAAAAACUUCUCAUUUAAACCCACCUGAGGAGCAUGAUGCAGCACCGCCUCAAGAUUCCGAUGACAUGCCACUCAUAAUAAUUCUUGUUGUUUGCAUCGUUGGCAUCUUCCUUUUAGCACUCAAUAUUGGUCUCAUCAUGUUCUUUAUCCGCAGGAAAAGGAAACGCCUAGAAAGACACCUUGAGUGGUAUGCCCUUCACAGCUCCAACCAUAGUGGAACAAAUGAGACGAUACCUAGACAACGAGACGGCAGCGAUACAACAAGUCAUACGAAUACAUUUGAGCUUUUUGGCUCAACGAAAGAAAGUCAUCUUUAUCCCAUGUCUCCAUCAGAGGAUGCUCGAAGCUAUGACACAUAUGAUAAAAGUUUAGACGAAUUUUCUGAUGAAUGCAGUAAAAACUAUGAGUUUUUGCCAUUUCAGGAUGAAGAUAUGAAGCGGGUUUUUUUACCUCCUCAUGAUUAUUCUGAUAGACCAUACACACCAUGUAAACAAGAUUCACCUCAUGUAGAACCUAAAAGAAUAUAUAUGGACUCACCAAAUCGGCAAAUUGCAUAUUUAGAUGAUUCAGACACAAGAUUACCAAAUGAAGAAUGGAAUGGUAGGGGACUACCUUGAACGUGCACCCAGCCGUCCAUGCAGCCGAGCCGUCACCUACCAGUGGAACACACAAACGCAAUCAUCUGUUUGACAUCUUCACUUAAUAAUCACUGGAAAUAUACAGUCCAAGUGUACCACUUUCUCCCAGCAUCGUCCCUAACCCCUGCUAUGAAAGCCCUUCUCAGUAUCGCAG